CCGUCUCAGUUCGGAUCGCAGGCUGCAACCCGCCUGCGUGAAGUCGGAAUCGCUAGUAAUCGCGGAUCAGCAUGCCGCGGUGAAUACGUUCCCGGGCCUUGUACACACCGCCCGUCACACCAUGAGAGUCGGGAACACCCGAAGUCCGUAGCCUAACCAAUCUGGAGGGCGCGGCCGAAGGUGGGUUCGAUAAUUGGGGUGAAGUCGUAACAAGGUAUC
rnacentral:rRNA from 1 species